AUGCCACCUUCCGUGCAUGACACCGAAGGCCUGGCAUUCAUGAAGCAUGGUUGUGUCUUCAGUGUGCACCGCCAGAUGAACGAAAUGCUGGGACACGCUAUCCCUGAUUUAUGCCGCUUCAGCUUGGAUGAGUCUCCAUUGUGUGGAACCGAACUAGAAAGCUGCGACAAUGAUUCAUGUUGCCCACCACUAUGGAUCGUGCCAUCCAUGAAGAACACCUGGGACUGGAACCUGGAGGAGACAUGGAUCCCAUCUAUAACAUUACUAGUAGAACCGGCUGACACGCCGAGCGGCGAUUGGAAUUCCCUCCCUGAUGUUCUCUUGGAGCAGAUCUCAGACGCAAAUGCACUGGCCUUCAUGAUUCCAGGACCUGGAAUCAUACUAGUCAAUGGCCUACGAAAUCUGUCGCACGGCCUUUACCAUAUAACUGGAAUUAACCGAUGCAAGUCCAAGAAGGAUUGGCCGGUGCUGUUGGCUGGCGUCAAGUCCGAUCCUGCAGAUCAGGAGCUGAUCGAGCACCUUGAUGCUAGAGUGAGUGCUGACAGUGCGAGAUAUCACCCUCUCAUCGAUUUGUUCAUACCAACCAUCGACAGCGAGCACGGCAUAUGCUACACCCAUCCCGAGAAACUUCAAGGUGAGACACCGAUCGGCAGUCUACUUGCACAAACAUAUUCCUUUGUUGAUAGCUCUAUUUUUCUUUUUAGACGUAGACCUAGUGAAGCAAUUACAAUUUGA
rnacentral:rRNA from 1 species